AACGAACGCUGGCGGCAGGCCUAACACAUGCAAGUCGAGCGCCCCGCAAGGGGAGCGGCGGACGGGUUAGUAACGCGUGGGAAUGUACCCUUUUCUACGGAAUAGCCUCGGGAAACUGAGAUUAAUACCGUAUACGCCCGGUAACGGGAAAGAUUUAUCGGAGAAGGAUCAGCCCGCGUAAGAUUAGAUAGUUGGUGGGGUAAUGGCCUACCAAGUCUACGAUCUUUAGCUGGUUUGAGAGGAUGAUCAGCAACACUGGGACUGAGGCACGGCCCAGACUCCUACGGGAGGCAGCAGUGGGGAAUCUUAGACAAUGGGCGCAAGCCUGAUCUAGCCAUGCCGCGUGAGUGAAGAAGGCCUUAGGGUCGUAAAGCUACUUUCAGUGGGGAAGAUAAUGACGGUACCCACAGAAGAAACCCCGGCUAACUCCGUG
rnacentral:rRNA from 1 species